CCUACGGGGUGCAGCAGUAGGGAAUCUUUCACAAUGGGCGAAAGCCUGAUGGAGCAACGCCGCGUGCAGGAUGCAGGCCUUCGGGUUGUAAACUGCUUUUAUAAGCGAGAAAUAUGAUGGUAACUUAUGAAUAAGGAUCGGCUAACUACGUGCCGGCAGCCGCGGUCAUACGUAGGAUCCGAGCAUUAUCCGGAGUGACUGGGUGUAAAGAGUUGCGUAGGUGGCAUAAUAAGUAGCUAGUGAAAUCUGGUGGCUCAACCAUUCAGACUAUUAGCUAAACUGUUAAGCUCGAGACCGUUAGGGGUAACUGGAAUUUCUAGUGUAGGAGUGAAAUCCGUAGAUAUUAGAAGGAACACCAAUAGCGUAGGCAGGUUGCUGGGACGGUUCUGACACUAAGGCACGAAAGCGUAGGGAGCAAACGGGAUUAGAUACCCCGGUAGUC
rnacentral:rRNA from 1 species